CCUACGGGGUGCAGCAGUGAGGAAUAUUGGUCAAUGGCCGGAAGGCUGAACCAGCCAUGCCGCGUGAAGGUCAGUGCCCUAUGGGCGUUAAACUUCUUUUGUGCGGGAGCAAUAAUGGUCACGUGUGGCCAGACGAGAGUACCGUACGAAUAAGCAUCGGCUAACUCCGUGCCCGCAGCCGCGGUAAUACUGGGGAUGCAAGCGUUAUCCUGAUUUAUUGGGUUUAAAGGGUGCGUAGGCUGUGAGGUAAGUCAGCGGUGAAAGGCCCCGGCUCAACGGGGUGAAGUGCCAUUGAUACUGGCUUGCUGGAGUGCGGAUGCGGUGGGAGGAAUGUGUGGUGUAGCGGUGAAAUGCAUAGAUAUCACACAGAACACCGAUUGCGAAGGCAUCUAACGAAGCCGCGAUUGACGCUGAUGCACGAAAGCGUGGGUAUCAAACAGGAUUAGAUACCCGGGUAGUC
rnacentral:rRNA from 1 species